rnacentral:rRNA from 1 species
UACGGAGGGUGCGAGCGUUAAUCGGAAUUACUGGGCGUAAAGCGUGCGUAGGUGGUUAAUUAAGUUAUCUGUGAAAUCCCUGGGCUUAACCUGGGCAGGUCAGAUGAUACUGGUUGACUCGAGUAUGGGAGAGGGUAGUGGAAUUUCCGGUGUAGCGGUGAAAUGCGUAGAGAUCGGAAGGAACACCAGUGGCGAAGGCGGCUACCUGGCCUAAUACUGACACUGAGGCACGAAAGCGUGGGGAGCAAACAGG